GUUGGCAAACCAAGAUGGAGGCCGGCAGCAGGGAGGGAUUUCUCACUUCAGAAAGUCUUUCCAAGUGUCUCUUCCCCUCCUUUUCCGCCUAUCUAGCCUCCUCCUGCUUUCCACCUUCCUUUUCCUCCCUCCCCCCUCAUUUCCUGAUGAAAACUAGAGGUCAAAGAUCACGUUAGUGGAUGAAAAGAGAAUGCAAAUGAGAGAAGCUGAUCGUGAUAGCAGGGUGUCACAUGUCACACACAGUGUGUGCAAGAGGCCUAGAAGAAGGAACACUGGCUUUGCCACACAGACUAGUGGUGGUGUCCUCGUUUGCUUUUAGGCUGCUGGGAUAUCGUACAGUUCACACGUGCCCAGGGAGAGCCAAAGCGAACCGCUUCUGGGAGACUCCAUCUCCAUCUGUUUGCAAACCAAGCCUGGUCUGCCCAUCAGCAGACAUCUGGCGUGGGGACCACGGCACGCCUUCCUCGUGGAGCCUCAUUCUGGGACGGGGGCCGAGCUGUGCUCUGUCAGAACUCAUCUGAAGACG